rnacentral:rRNA from 1 species
GCUUGCUGAACACACGAACGGCGCACGGGUGAGUAUCGCGUAUGCAAUUACCUCUAACUGGAGGAUAGCGCGAAGAAAUUCGGAUUAAUACUCCAUAAUGUCAUUUAAUCGCAUGAUUUUAUGAUUAAAGCUACGGCGGUUAGAGAUGAGCAUGCGUGUCAUUAGCUAGUUGGUGAGGUAACGGCUCACCAAGGCUGCGAUGACUAGGGGUUCUGAGAGGAUGAUCCCCCACACUGGUACUGAGACACGGACCAGACUCCUACGGGAGGCAGCAGUGAGGAAUAUUGGGCAAUGGGCGCAAGCCUGACCCAGCCAUGCCGCGUGCAGGAUGACUGCCCUAUGGGUUGUAAACUGCUUUUAUACGGGAAGAAUGGUUCCUACGUGUAGGAAUUUGACGGUACCGUAAGAAUAAGCAUCGGCUAACUCCGUGCCAGCAGCCGCGGUAAUACGGAGGAUGCAAGCGUUAUCCGGAUUCAUUGGGUUUAAAGGGUGCGCAGGCGGAGUAUUAAGUCAGUGGUGAAAUCCUGCAGCUUAACUGUAGAACUGGCAUUGAUACUGAUAUUCUUGAAUAUAGUUGAGGUGGGCGGAAUGUGUAAUGUAGCGGUGAAAUGCUUUAGAUAUUACACAGAACACCGAUUGCGAAGGCAGCUCACUAAACUAAUAUUGACGCUGAGGCACGAAAGCGUGGGGAGCGAACAGGAUUAGAUACCCUGGUA